rnacentral:rRNA from 1 species
CGUGUGGUUCUAUUUUGUUGGUUAUGGGACCGCCGUAAUGAUUAAUAGGGACAGUCGGGGGCAUCAGUAUUCAAUUGUCAGAGGUGAAAUUCUUGGAUUUAUUGAAGACUAACUACUGCGAAAGCAUUUGCCAAGGAUGUUUUCAUUAAUCAGGAACGAAAGUUAGGGGAUCGAAGACGAUCAGAUACCGUCGUAGUCUUAACCAUAAACUAUGCCGACUAGGGAUCGGGCGAUGUUACUUUUUGACUCGCUCGGCACCUUACGAGAAAUCAAAGUUUGUGGGUUCCGGGGGGAGUAUGGUGGCAACGCUGAAACUUAAAGAAAUUGACGAAAGGGCACCACCAGGGGUGGAGCCUGCGGCUUAAUUUGACUCAACACGGGGAAACUCACCAGGUCCAGACACAAUGAGGAUUGACAGAUUGAGAGCUCUUUCUUGAUUUUGUGGGUGGUGGUGCAUGGCCGUUCUUAGUUGGUGGAGUGAUUUGUCUGCUUAAUUGCGAUAACGAACGAGACCUUAACCUGCUAAAUAGCCCGUGUUGCUUCUGCAGCACGCCGGCUUCUUAGAGGGACUAUCGGCUCAAGCCGAUGGAAGUUUGAGGCAAUAACAGGUCUGUGAUGCCCUUAGAUGUUCUGGGCCGCACGCGCGCGACACUGACAGGGCCAGCGAGUUCUCCCUUGUCCGAAAGGACCGGGUAAUCUUGUUAAACCCUGUCGUGC